rnacentral:rRNA from 1 species
ACAAGUCACACGAGUUUGAUCAUGGCUCAGAACGAACGCUGGCGGCAGGCCUAACACAUGCAAGUCGAGCGCCCCGCAAGGGGAGCGGCGGACGGGUGAGUAACACGUGGGAAUUUUCCUCAAGGUACGGAACAACUCAGGGAAACUUGGGCUAAUACCGUAUGAUGCAGAGAUGCCAAAGAUUUAUCGCCUUGGGAUAAGCCCGCGUCAGAUUAGGUAGUUGGUGGGGUAAUGGCCUACCAAGCCUGUGAUCUGUAGCUGGUCUGAGAGGACGAUCAGCCACAUUGGGACUGAGACACGGCCCAAACUCCUACGGGAGGCAGCAGUGGGGAAUCUUGCGCAAUGGACGAAAGUCUGACGCAGCCAUGCCGCGUGAAUGAUGAAGGUCUUAGGAUUGUAAAGUUCUUUAGCCUGUGACGAUGAUGACGGUAACAGGAGAAUAAGCCCCGGCUAACUUCGUG